rnacentral:misc_RNA from 1 species
GUUAAUUUCAUUCCAAAUACACAAAAUAAAUAAGAUGGGAAAGUUAAAGAAAGAAGAUGAGAUUUAAGACAAACAUACAACAAUGAAGUAGAGGAAGAAGAGCUAGAUAGAAUAGAGAUGGUUAAUUAGUACUACGCACAACACGAUGAUAGCCUUCUUCAGUACUCUGCAGCGGGCAAGGGCUGGUGGGUGAAUCCAAUGAAGAAGAGCUCAUACACAAUGCCGGCUAAGCCGCCGCCGAUGAGUGGGCCAGCCCAGUAGAUCCAAUGGUCACCCCAAGACCAAGACACCAGGGCAGGUCCGAAGGCCACUGCUGGGUUCAUGGAGGCUCCCGUGAAUGGGCCACCCACCAGAAUGUUGGCCGCCACAAUUAAACCGAUGGCAAUGGGUGCUAUUACUCCCAACUCACCUCUCUUGGGAUCAAUGGCGGUGGCGUAUACUGUGUAGACUAAUCCGAAUGUCAUUGCGAUCUCGAAUACAAAUGCUUCCCAUACUCCCACUCCUGCUGUAGGCAAGAAUCCCGUAAUAGCCACGUCGACGAUGACGAACUUGAGCAACAAGUUAGCGACGACAGCGCCGAGGAGCUGGGCGAUCCAGUAAAGAAUCCCGCGGAGGAUAGUGAUGUUACCGCCGACCAAGGCCCCGAAAGUGACGGCAGGGUUGAGGUGGCCGCCGGAGAUGUUGGCGGCGGUGGAGACACCGACGAAAAGGGCAAAGCCAUGAGCUAAGGAAGCGCUCAUUAGGCCGGUAGGGCUGGUGGGAGAAUUAUGGGUGAGCUUAGAGAAAGCCAGACCGGAACCUUGGCCGGCGAAAACGAAGAUAAGAGUGGAAAUGAACUCGGCCAAGGCGGCCUUCAGGGCGGCGGGGUGGGUGGCCUCCUCCGGCCGGCCGACGGCGAUAACUAUCCUCUGAAACGGCAUGGUUGAGUUAGAGUGGAAGUGAUAUUUGUGUGGAUCCCGC